AAAGGAGGCCCAUGGCACAGCCUCCUGCCCAAAGCAGGACUGCUGCCAGCAUGAAGCCUGUGUCUGUCUGAGCAUUCAGAGCCUCCAAGGGGAGAGCUGAUGUAAUCCUUGCCCCUGUUAUGAAGCCUUGGCCUCUCUUCUGUUGGACAGAAUUGUUCUUUGGAAAGUAGAAUAGAUGAUGAAAGCUCAGUGGGGGAACACAAGAGGUAGUUAUAAGAGGCUGAAGUAAAAGAAAGUCAAGAAUAUGAACAAUUCUGAGCUGGUGCUUGUGAUGCCUGGAGAAAAGCACUUGAUGCAAAAGUUGCAGAGAACUUUUUGCUUUCCUCAUUAAUGUAUCGAAGAAGGAGUUUUUACUCAAAGGACACGUACAAAGAAGUCAGGUUGCUUGUUCUGUGGAACACGGAGUCAGAGGAGCAGAUGAAGAAGAAAGAAGUGUGAGCUUGUGUGUGUGUGGAUUCAUCUUGCCAUGGAUCAGGAGUUCACCUUGUGAGAGCUCGUGUGGACAGGUCAAGGCUCUGACAGCUUCAGUGGCUGCCACGGGUUCCUCUGGCUACCCCUGUCUGGGAUUUUGAGGCUUGAGUUUCUGCAAUUUAUAUUCACCACUGUAAAGUCAUCUCUACCACAGGUUCCCAGGGAUCCCUGGGAUGUCUUCACAAAGCACUGUACGCUCUUCCCUUCCAUAUAACUGAAGAAUCAGUUAGGAUGGAAAAGACUCAAAAGAUCGUCCACCCAUAACCAACCUAACACUACUAUGCUCACCACUAAACCAUGUCCCUAAGUGUCACAGGAUUUCAGCUCAAAGCCAAUGUCACAAAAUUUAAUGCAGGUUCUUAUGGAGGAAGAAGCUGAUUUUAUUGUACAAAAGCCUUGAACAGAAUAAUUCUGCCCCUCAGGCUCUC
ensembl:lncRNA